GCACAGAAAGGAAGAGUGACACGCUGGCAUUGCUAAUGUCGUGUCCAUGUCGCCAGGGACACGGGACAGUGAGGAGCAGUGAGCUCACUGCACUGGGGGAGCUUGGCCUCUGUACUGAAGUAACCGGGAACCAGGCUGCCCGCUGACCACAGGGCCAUAUCGCCUGGACAGCUCAGGGCCAGUGAGGGGCUUGGAAUCACAGGAGCCAGAAGCCACCAGCAUCCCCACAGGGUGACAUCAGCACGGGGACACUCACACAGUGCUCAGUGCCUGCUGGGAGAAUGACUUGGGGAUCAGGUGAGCCCCCAGCAGUCCCAGAAACUCCCCAUGUGCGCGCUGUAUAUUGACACAGGUCCAAGAACAAAAGAACUUGUAGCCAAGUGACAGCAGGGCUCAGCGUCCAGCUCUGGCCUGUGGGGGCUACAGGGGAUAAGGCCACCAUGUCAUCACUGCCCAGUAGAGUUGGUCACCCCACGGGUUCCACAUGGGAGCUGAGGCUUUCCUGGGCUGAGUGUAUGCCCAGCGCUGGCUGCAGGCCUGGUGCCACUCUGGGCUUCUUGAAGAGUGCUGUCAUGUGACUGUGGGACCCACUGGUGCAGGUGGUUAUGGAGGGUUCCCCCUCUGGGGACCCCCACAUUGCCGGGUCCCUCCAGCGGCCUCUCCUUGUCUCUGGAGAAGGAAGCUGAUGGAGGCUGCCUCCUGCGCCGAGCCAGUGGCCUUGCCCGGUGUGACAGGGCCUGUCCCCCUCCCAGGGCCUGACCCCAGCUCUCCUCUUGAGCAGACCAGAAAAUGGACCUGGCUGAGUGCUCCCUGACCAGUGACCGCCACUGCCAGUGCCAACAGGGGCUCUUCUACUGCGACUCUCCAGACUGCGUGGAGCAGUGCUACCGAUGUGACCAGUACAGAAUGGGGCAGGGUGCCUGGAGCUGGGCCCCUUUCCUCCAUGCUGUUUGGACUGUGAAUCCUACUUGCACUGAGGAUGUGUGUCCCAUCUGAGCUGUCUGCCUUCCUGGAUGCCCGAGAGAAAUCAAAUUGUCUUGGUGGCGCCACCUGGUGGUCGGCCAGGACCAGGGCUCACUCAUCUCUCAGACUUGUGUUAUAGUCCAAUCCCAGAGAUGGUAGAUACACA